CGUUGUAAACUUUACGGAAUUUCCAAGGAGAUUGGUAAUAACUUGUCGAAGCUUUGCAGAAUCACCAGCCAAUAAAGCUGGAACAUUCGGAUAUAUGUCGUAUGAAAUUUGAACAGGUUUAGAAGAAAGAGAAGGGUAUACUAACUCAAUGCAAUCUGCAAUAUUCUCUUCAACAUCAAAGACUUUGUCAGGCUCAAGUUUCAUUUUGCCUGACUUCAAUUCGCUGAAGUUCAAUAGAUCAUCUAUAAUUUGGACCAACGAUGUGCAACUCUGUUUAGCAGUGCUAACUAUGUCAUACUGCUCUUCAUUUAAUUUGGUAUCACUAAGCAGAGAAAGCAUCCCAUAAAAACUCGAAAACGGAGU